AUUGAACGCUGGAGGCAUGCUUUACACAUGCAAGUCGAACGGUAACAGGGUGCUUGCACCGCUGACGAGUGGCGAACGGGUGAGUAAUGCGUCGGAACGUGCCGAGUAGUGGGGGAUAACGCAGCGAAAGUUGUGCUAAUACCGCAUACGUACUGAGGUAGAAAGUGGGGGACCUUCGGGCCUCACGCUAUUCGAGCGGCCGACGUCUGAUUAGCUAGUAGGUGAGGUAAAGGCUCACCUAGGCGACGAUCAGUAGCGGGUCUGAGAGGAUGAUCCGCCACACUGGGACUGAGACACGGCCCAGACUCCUACGGGUGGCAGAAGUGGGGAAUUUUGGACAAUGGGCGAAAGCCUGAUCCAGCCAUGCCGCGUGUCUGAGGAAGGCCUUCGGGUUGUAGAGGACUUUUGUCCGGGAGCAAAUACCCAGUGCUAAUAACGCUGGGGGCUGAGAGUACCGGAAGAAUAAGCACCGGCUAACUACGUGCCAGCCGCCGCCGUAACAC
rnacentral:rRNA from 1 species